AUGAACGCUGGCGGCGUGCCUAAUACAUGCAAGUCGAGCGAAUAGACGAGGAGCUUGCUCCUCUGACGUUAGCGGCGGACGGGUGAGUAACACGUGGAUAACCUACCUAUAAGACUGGGAUAACUUCGGGAAACCGGAGCUAAUACCGGAUAAUAUAUUGAACCGCAUGGUUCAAUAGUGAAAGACGGUUUUGCUGUCACUUAUAGAUGGAUCCGCGCCGCAUUAGCUAGUUGGUAAGGUAACGGCUUACCAAGGCAACGAUGCGUAGCCGACCUGAGAGGGUGAUCGGCCACACUGGAACUGAGACACGGUCCAGACUCCUACGGGAGGCAGCAGUAGGGAAUCUUCCGCAAUGGGCGAAAGCUUGACGGAGCAACGCCGCGUGAGUGAUGAAGGUCUUCGGAUCGUAAAACUCUGUUAUUAGGGAAGAACAAAUGUGUAAGUAACUAUGCACGUCUUGACGGUACCUAAUCAGAAAGCCACGGCUAACUACGUG
rnacentral:rRNA from 1 species